AACGAACGCUGGCGGCAUGCCUAACACAUGCAAGUCGAACGAGACCUUCGGGUCUAGUGGCGCAUGGGUGCGUAACGCGUGGGAACCUGCCCUUAGGUUCGGAAUAACUCCCCGAAAGGGGUGCUAAUACCGGAUAAUGUCUUCGGACCAAAGAUUGAACGCCUUUGGAUGGGUCCGCAUUGGAUUAGCUAGUUGGUAGGGUAAAAGCCUAUCAAGGCGACGAUCCAUAGCUGGUCAGAGAGGAUGGUCAGCCACACUGGGACUGAGACGCGGCCCAGACUCCUACAGAAGGCAGCAGAGGGGGAUGUUGGAAAGUGGGGGGAAGGAUGAACCAGCAAGGCCGGGAGAGUGAUGAAGGCGUUAAGGAUGUAAAGCUCUUCUACCCGGGAUGAUAAUGACGGUACCGGAAGAAUAAGCUCCGGCUAACUCCGUG
rnacentral:rRNA from 1 species